rnacentral:rRNA from 1 species
UGAGGAAUCUUGCGCAAUGGGGGAAACCCUGACGCAGCAACGCCGCGUGAGUGAGGAAGGUCUUCGGAUCGUAAAGCUCUGUCGGGUGGAAAGAAAUGUAUGGGGUUAAUAGCCUUCAUACUUGACGGUACCACCAAAGGAAGCACCGGCUAACUCCGUGCCAGCAGCCGCGGUAAUACGGGGGGUGCAAGCGUUGUUCGGAAUUAUUGGGCGUAAAGAGCGUGUAGGCGGCUUGGCAAGUCAGAUGUGAAAGCCCUGGGCUUAACCCAGGAAGUGCAUUUGAAACUGCUUAGCUAGAGUAGGGAGAGGGAAGUGGAAUUCCUGGUGUAGAGGUGAAAUUCGUAGAUAUCAGGAGGAACACCGGUGGCGAAGGCGACUUUUCCUUGGCCCUAUACUGACGCUGAGACGCGAGAGCGUGGGUAGCAAACA